CUGGGAUUGUUGUUAGGGCUUAUUGUCUUUGUGCUCUUGUAAAUAGAAGGCAAUAAAGGUCAGUUUUACUGGUUCAUGGAAAAUAAAUUGGUUUGCAUACAAUGAUUUUAGUGUAAGUGUAUGGAUGUGUAAGAAAUUUUAAUACAAGGUUCCAUACCAGAAUAGGAUGGUCGGGAUUGAUUUUGGGGCUUAUUGUCUUAGCUGUUCUGUAAUUAGGGGCUGGAAAGGGAAAAACAAAAUUAUUUGUCUAGUUUUAAGACAAUAACUUGAGUAAAAGAGAUAUUACUUUGGUAAAUUUUAGCACAAGGUUCCACACUACAAUAGGAAGGUUGAGAUUUAUUUUCAGGGCUAAUGGCAUAGCUGUUUAUGAAUAAUGGGCCAAAAAGGUUAUUUUUUU
rnacentral:lncRNA from 1 species